rnacentral:lncRNA from 11 species
GGUCAAGGGAGUCAGAAACGACUAUGCGACUGAGCAGCAGCAGCAAAGAUUGCCCAAGUGGUUACUGGAGUUCAUCCACCAUUCCUGUCAAUAAAUUAAGAGUGCUGUCCCGGCAGCAGACUACAUGACAGGAACAGCUGAAAGACUGCAUUUAGCCACCAUUCCUGAAGACGCGUGCUGCACAGCAGUAGCCUAUACAACAGAACCAGUCGAAAGGCUGCAGAAUGCCACGACUAAGAAGGCAGUGCAUGAGAUCUACACGUCAGCAUUCAACAAAUACUGAAGGAGUCAACCCUCAAAAAGUUGUAUUACGCACAGAAGACAACCAAGCAGUAGAGUUCCAGACCAAGGAAAUACGUGUCAAUGAAACUAUGGAAAAAGGAAAUGAUAUUGAAACAGAGAUGAACUACUUCAGUUUUCCAAAUAAACCUGAAGACAAACAUCUAGUUACUUUGAUCCAAAAGUCAUACAAUAAAACUUUGUUGUUGACGAAAGAAUCCAGUGUGUUGAAGGCAGUUAAUGUGCAAAAUUUUGAAGAGAAAAAGGCUGCAAUCAAAUCAGAACUUGCGGGGCCAAGUGCUGCAAGCCCUGCACAAUGCCAUCUCUUCUAUCUGCAUUUUGAAGCAAGUGGAGAAGCACAGUUUCAGUCCUUUGACGGAAAGUAUUAUCUUACUAAGAUAGGCAAAAAACUGCAUCUUCGACGACGAAACCAAGGAGCUGGGCAACGCUUCAAAGUCAAUCCAUAUUCCAGAGCUGCCUCACAAUGAAGACUGGUGGACAUAAGUGGUUAGUUACCAAGAAGAAAAUAUCUUAUGCUCUGUACAUUCUAUAGUUGGGCAAGGACAGCUAAUGAAUCCAUUACCACAGAGGUAGCAAAUCCACUUUUGGUAUUACUGUUGCUCUUAAUUCAGUGGUUCUUUGUUGCAUAUUGGAUCUAUCCAGGUGUGAGAUGUUACUCCUUAUAUCGAUUUAGCACCAGGCGAGCCUCUAUGCGAUCUGCACUAGCUAUUAGAGAGGUUGUAAAAAUAAGAGUGGAUAUGGCAUCCCCAUGGUAACAGAUCCGCUGGCUGCCCUCGUAGUUGAAAUACCUAAGAACUGUAUUUUUGGACUAAAAAAGUAAUUCCUUUGUCUUGUUAUUUCCUUCUCAUCGUAAAAACCUAGGACCUAAAUAUCUUUGAGUUGGCUUCUAUUAUUAUUACUAUUACUGUUAUUGACACAACGACACAGUAUGACACAGCAAACAAGAUAGACAUGCUGGAUUUCGUAUCACAAAAUCACAAGUCGAAUGCUUCCCAAGUGUUUAGGACUGUGUGAUGUAUUUUCGGAUGAUGCGAGCAAAUCCCAGUAGGGUGGCCUUUUGCAGUUGGCAGAUCAUACUUUUGUCAAUGUUUAUAGUUUCCAAAUGCCAGCUGAAAUCUUUUGACAUGGCACCCAGUGUGCCGAUCACCACCGGGACCACCUGUGCUGGUUUCUGCCAGAGUCUAUUAUUAUUAUUAUUAUUAUUAUUAUUAUUAUUAUUAUUAUUAUUAUUAUUACUGUUACUAUUAUUAUUGCCCCACUUUUCUCUCAUGAUUAAAACCCAAAGUGUGCAAUCAGUUAAAAAUUAAUUAAAAUUCAAUUUUAAAAAAUGACUAGGUUGCUGUGAGUUUUCCAGGCUGUAUGGCCAUGUUUCAGAAGCAUUAUCUCCUGCCGUUUUGCCCACAUCUAUAGCAGACAUCAUCAGAGGUUGAGGGGUCUGAAAAUGUAAAAAAAAAAAAAAAGCUUAACUAAACCAAUGCAGGCUAUCCUUGCGCAUUCUUUAAAAAUGUUCUUUUUUAGAAAUCAUGAGCCAGGAGAGGGGGGGGGGCAUGAGGAAAAUCGCUCCCCCCGCCCCGGUCUCCUGGCCCAUCAUUUCUACGCACCAGGAGGACUCCAGCAGGACCUUAAUGGCAGCUGGGUACAUUUUUUAAAUUUUUAAGGCCUUUGGGGGGGGGGUCUAGGUACCCUCCCGUAAGGUACCAGGAGGGCAUCUAGACACCCCCUGGGAAAAGCACGUGCUUUAGGAGGAGAUGUGUGGACUUAAAUGUGCACCUAAGCAGGUUUCUUAAACCUGCUUUGGCAUGCGUUAAAGUGCUGUCUGGAACCGGCCCCAGAAUAUCAAGGCAGAUAUCCACUAUAUCUGCUUUAAACUGGAUUAUCUGAGUCCACACUGCCAUAUAAUCCAGUUCAAUGUGGAUUUUAUACAGCUGUGUGGAAGAGGACAUUAUGGCUUUCUGAGGCAGGGAGUUGCAAUAAGUGAGUUGUAUUUCCUGUAGCCACCCCCAGUUAACAAUCUGGCUGCAGCUAUUUGGCCGAGUUGAAGUUUCCAAACACUCUUCAAAGGCAGACCCACAUAGAGACAGUAAUCCAAAUGGGAUGUAAUUCAGGCACGUACCACCAUGGCCACAUCCAGCAUUUCAAGGAACACAAGCUUUAAAUAUGGGGUGGCACUCCUGGUCAUAUCAAAAUCCUGGGCCUCAAGGUUCAAUGCCGAGUCCAGGAGUACACCCAAACUGUGGACCUGCGUCUUUAAGGGGAAGAUAAUCCCCAUCUAAUAUAGGCUGAAUCUCUAUUUCCUGAUCUGCUUUCUAACUGACCUUAAUCCAGUCUGAUGGCAGACAUUAGUUUAGGAUCAGGACAGCCUCCUUGGCUUGGAGUGGAAAGGAGUACUAGAGUUGGGUGCUACCUGCACCUUAAAAUUGUAUAUAGUGGGCACCACAUUCCAAAACUCCGGAUAACCUCUCAGUCAUUUCAUGUAUAUGUCGAAUUGCAUGGGGGUAGCACAGAGCCCUGAGGGACCCCACAGGCCAGUGGCCAAGAAGUCGAAUAAGAGUCCCCGGCACCACCUUCUGAGAAUGUCCAUCCAGGAAAGAACUGAGCCACUGAAGAACAGUACCUCCAAACCCCAUCCCAGAAAGGUGACCCAGAAGUAUACUAUGUUCAGAUUCCACCUGAACAUCAGGAAGAACUUCCUCACUGUGAGGGCUGUUCGACAGUGGAACUCUCUGCCCCGGACUGUGGUGGAGGCUCCUUCUUUGGAGGCUUUUAAGCAAAGGCUGGAUGGCCAACUGUCGGGGGUGCUUUGAAUGCGAUUUCCUGUUUCUUAGCGGGGAGUUGGGCUGGAUGGCCCAUGAGGUCUCUUCCAACUCUACUAUUCUAUGAUUCUAUGAUUCUAUGAUUCUAUGGUUGAUGGUACCAAAAGCCACUGAGUGAUCCAGGAUAAUCAGAAGGGACACACUCCUCCCCAGCUGCCUCUGUCCUAUAGCCAGACCGGAAACUAGACUGAAAUGAAUCUAGAUAAUCUGUUUCUUACAGAAAUCCCUGGAAUUGGGAGGCCACCAUUUGCUCAAUACUUUGCCCCAAAAUGGAAGAUUAGAUACUAGCCAACAAUUAUCUACUGCAAGUUAAAAAUGUAUACUUUUUGUAAAGUCCUGCUUCUUAAACUUCUUUUGGGGGGAAAAUUAUUUGCUUUUAUAUAACACAAUUAAUUAAACCGGUCAUUAAUUAACUAAUUCAUUAUUUUAAAUGUCACUAUUCUGUGUUUAUUUUGAUGAAGGGAUACUCUAUGGGAAGGUGUACAUAUUUCAAAUAAAAAUAUAUUAAAGCAAUUGUGACUGAAGUUGUUUUCCAAUACAUCUAAAGUAUUCUAUAUUGUACAAUAAGAAAGGAGUUCUCCUUGAAUACACUCCAGAAACAGUGAAAUAUAUUUUCUUUGGGAUCAUUUGUCAAGGUAGAAUGCUACUUAUUUGACUAAAGGUGUAAGUAAAUGUAAACAUUAUAUUUUGCAUAUAAUUUUAAUUUGUUAAAUAAGUUGCCUGUUCCAGGCUUACAAGAAUGGAAUUAUAAUUGGAAAUUUCAAUGUUCACCCAG